rnacentral:rRNA from 1 species
GGGUCUACCCAUUGGUCAGGCUUAAUUGUCUGUACUGGUGAGAUGGAUCUCUACCUUCUGAGGAACUUUCAUGCCAUUUAUUUGGUGUGGUUGGAAAUCAGGACUGUUACUUUGAAAAAAUUAGAGUGUUUAAAGCAGGCUCACGCUUGAAUACAUUAGCAUGGAAUAACGGAAUAGGACGUUUGAUUCUAUUUUGUUGGUUUCUAGGAUCGACGUA